UACGGAGGGACUAGCGUUGUUCGGAAUUACUGGGCGUAAAGCGCACGUAGGCGGAUUUGUAAGUCAGGGGUGAAAUCCCGGGGCUCAACCUCGGAACUGCCUUUGAUACUGCAAAUCUCGAGUCCGGAAGAGGUGAGUGGAAUUCCUAGUGUAGAGGUGAAAUUCGUAGAUAUUAGGAAGAACACCAGUGGCGAAGGCGGCUCACUGGUCCGGUACUGACGCUGAGGUGCGAAAGCGUGGGAGCAAACAGG
rnacentral:rRNA from 1 species